rnacentral:rRNA from 1 species
CUACGGGUUGCUGCAGUGGGGAAUAUUGGACAAUGGGGGAAACCCUGAUCCAGCAAUGCCGCGUGUGUGAAGAAGGCCUGCGGGUUGUAAAGCACUUUCGGUUGGGAGGACUGCUUCUAGCACUAAUAUUGUUGGAAGUUGACGUUACCUUCAGAAGAAGCACCGGCUAACUCCGUGCCAGCAGCCGCGGUAAUAUGGAGGGUGCAAGCGUUAAUCGGAAUUACUGGGCGUAAAGCGCGCGUAGGCGGCUAGAUCAGUCGGGUGUGAAAGCGCCGGGCUUAACCUGUGAACUGCAUCCGAUACUGUCUAGCUUGAGUACAGGAGAGGAGAGUGGAAUUCCACAUGUAGCGGUGAAAUGCGUAGAUAUGUGGAGGAACACCAAUGGCGAAGGCAGCUCUCUGGCCUGAUACUGACGCUGAGGUGCGAAAGCGUGGGGAGCAAACAGGAUUAGAUACCCCGGUAGUC